UAGGUAUCCUGGGGUGAUUCAAGAUGCUCAGGUGUAUCACACUGCAUGGUACACAGGUCAGUUUUGCAGGCUGCUCUGAGAUACACUGAUUUAGAUACAACCACAUGUCUGCAGCAAUUUCUUACUCUCGGUAUAAAGACCAGCUCAUGGUGUGGGAAGCAUCUCAUAUGGUUCACCGAAUCAAUUGAUGAAUCUGAAGCGAUUCAAGAGGAGGAGCAAAAAUUGUUUAUGCCUAUAGUGAAACGGAAGGCCAUGAACAACGCGUCUCCGGGA